rnacentral:rRNA from 1 species
UACGUAGGUGGCGAGCGUUGUCCGGAAUUACUGGGUGUAAAGGGCGUGUAGGCGGGGCGGCAAGUCAGAUGUGAAAUUCCGGGGCUUAACCCCGGCGCUGCAUCUGAAACUGUCGUCCUUGAGUGUCGGAGAGGAAAGUGGAAUUCCCAGUGUAGCGGUGAAAUGCGUAGAGAUUGGGAGGAACACCAGUGGCGAAGGCGGCUUUCUGGACGAUAACUGCCGCUGAGGCGCGAAAGCGUGGGGAGCAGACAGG